UGACCGAGCAACGCCGCGUGAGUGAAGAAGGUUUUCGGAUCGUAAAGCUCUGUUAUAAGCGAAGAACGGGAGUAAGAGUGGAAAGUUUACUCUGUGACGGUAGCUUAUCAGAAAGGGACGGCUAACUACGUGCCAGCAGCCGCGGUAAUACGUAGGUCCCGAGCGUUGUCCGGAUUUAUUGGGCGUAAAGCGAGCGCAGGUGGUUUAAUAAGUCUGAAGUUAAAGGCAUUGGCUCAACCAAUGUACGCUUUGGAAACUGUUAAACUUGAGUGCAGAAGGGGAGAGUGGAAUUCCAUGUGUAGCGGUGAAAUGCGUAGAUAUAUGGAGGAACACCGGUGGCGAAAGCGGCUCUCUGGUCUGUAACUGACACUGAGGCUCGAAAGCGUGGGUAGCGAACAGGAUUAGAUACCCUGGUAGUCCACGCCGUAAACGAUGAGUGCUAGGUGUUGGGUCCUUUCCGGGACUCAGUGCCGCAGCUAACGCAUUAAGCACUCCGCCUGGGGAGUACGACCGCAAGGUUGAAACUCAAAGGAAUUGACGGGGGCCCGCACAAGCGGUGGAGCAUGUGGUUUAAUUCGAAGCAACGCGAAGAACCUUACCAGGUCUUGACAUCCCGAUGCCCGUCCUAGAGAUAGGAUUUUACUUCGGUACAUCGGUGACAGGUGGUGCAUGGUUGUCGUCAGCUCGUGUCGUGAGAUGUUGGGUUAAGUCCCGCAACGAGCGCAACCCCUAUUGUUAGUUGCCAUCAUUGAGUUGGGCACUCUAGCGAGACUGCCGGUAAUAAACCGGAGGAAGGUGGGGAUGACGUCAAAUCAUCAUGCCCCUUAUGACCUGGGCUACACACGUGCUACAAUGGUCGGUACAACGAGCAGCGAACUGGUGACAGUAAGCCAAUCUCUUAAAGCCGAUCUCAGUUCGGAUUGUAGGCUGCAACUCGCCUACAUGAAGUCGGAAUCGCUAGUAAUCGCGGAUCAGCACGCCGCGGUGAAUACGUUCCCGG
rnacentral:rRNA from 1 species